UAUUAAGUAAAAUAAACCUUUUCAUAAAACAGAUGCAUCAUUUGAGAGGAUAGACUCCACAUUUAAAAGAGUUCUACUGUGGCUAAAUGCUAUCAAACAGCAUCACAUGCUACAGAGAAAUCUUUCAUGAAAGGAAGAUUUAGUACAUGUGGCAAACUUCAUUGUCUUAUAUCAAGAAACUGCCACAGUCAUCCAACCUUCAACAACUACUCUCCUGAUGAAUCAGCGACUAUCAACAUUGAGACAAGAGUCUCUAGAAGCAUUGAAGACUCAGAUGAUGGAAUCGCUGUCCAUUGUUCCUUCCUAGCCGGUCAUGGACACAAUCAGCGGAUCCACAAGAGCAUGCUGAAAAUGAGCAAGUCCGACAAAGGGAAACAGGUUUGCUGUCACUCCUACAGCAGCAGCUGGGAAGCUUCCAGUUUUCCUGUAUGAUUCUAAUGGAAUGGAUGAAAAGAGGUGGAAAAUGAGAGGGUUAUUAUGAAGCCUCUUCUAAGCUUUUUGUAACCAUCUUCGUGGAAGCUGCCCCACCCAACCCAUACAUUUCUGUGACUCUGCUGCACAACCUCACAUCUAGAUGUGGC
rnacentral:lncRNA from 13 species